rnacentral:lncRNA from 1 species
AACGAUCAAAAGGACUUUUAUUUGGUUGUAAUGUGACUAAGGUAAGGGUGAGAUAAAUCCUAAGGGGGUACUAGGCUAAAAUUCAAAGAGACUUGAAAGAAACUGUGGGAGUUGAAUUUACAAAAGAUUUCAUUCACUUCAACAACUUUAUAGCAAUUGUUUUCUCUUCUCCUUUCUCUUUUUAUUAUUUUUUUCUUUUUUAAAAGGAGUAUGUAUUGACAUGUAUUGACAUCCUUCUAUUUUUUCAUUCAUUUUUUCUUUUUCUAUUUUCUUUUUUAUUUUUAUUUUCUUUUCUGCCAACUUCUAAAAUAUUACAAAUAUAAUUAUUCAACCUCACACAACUGCAAACAAGACUCUUUUAACCCUUUGAAUAAGGUGAUAACAUUAUUUUUCACUUCUAGGUUUGUAGUGAGUUUUAA